rnacentral:rRNA from 1 species
UACAGAGGGUGCGAGCGUUGUCCGGAAUCACUGGGCGUAAAGGGCGCGUAGGUGGUGGCUUAAGCGUGCGGUGAAAGCUCGGGGCUCAACCCCGAGUCGGCCGUGCGAACUGGGCUCACUGGAGCAUAGUAGAGGCAGGUGGAAUUCCGGGUGUAGCGGUGGAAUGCGUAGAGAUCCGGAAGAACACCGGUGGCGAAGGCGGCCUGCUGGGCUAUGGCUGACACUGAGGCGCGGACAGCGUGGGAGCAAACAGG